AAGAAAGGUGCUAAGAAGCAAAGAUUGUUGUGGGCAUCAACCGGUGUUAAGAAUCCUGCGUAUUCUGACACUCUGUAUGUGGAUCCUCUCAUUGGACCUGACACGGUCUCCACCAUGCCUGAUCAAGCUCUGCAAGCCUUCAUUGACCAUGGCACCGUUUCAAGGACCAUAGACUCAAAUCUGUCAGAGGCUGAGGGUAUCUAUAGUGCGCUCGGGAAGUUGGGCAUUGACUGGAACAAGGUUGGGUCUCAGCUUGAAGUUGAAGGUGUCGACUCCUUCAGGAAGAGUUUCGACAGCUUGCUUGUUAGCCUGCAAAAAAAGUGCGAUUCCUUCAAGCUGGUCGGUCUGUAGGUGGAAGCUAGUGUUUCAGUUCCCAGCUAUCAGCUGUCUUAAAUAAAGCUGGGUUGGUUUUUUAACUUGUAAAUUGUUCCUUGUUGUAAGAUGUCGUCUGCUUUAUGUGUACUAGGCAGGCUGCGAAUAUAUGGUUUCUGAGGAUACUACAUAGCAAGCAAUAGCACCAAUUUAGAGCCAUGAAUUUUCAGAGGGGAUCUAAGCCAACGAAGAUCUCAAGGAAAUGAAUUGGUAGCCAGCAAUCCUUGAGACUUAAUAGAGAAAGUUUUCUACCAGUGUCACCAAGAAAACUUCCAUUUCCUUGCCCAUCUUAACUCUGCCUUCUCUCUUGCUGGAAGUUCUGACCACCCAUCAAUUGUGCACAGUUUUUUUUUUUUGGUGUUCAUUUUCUUUCUAUUGAUGUGCUUAAUGUAAUGUCUUUCAAUUGUAUUUUUCUUUUGAUUUUGAUCUAAAUGUCAUCUCCCAAUGGAGAUCUAGUUAUUCUAUUUUGAUUUAUCAGUGAACUCCUUUGCAUUUAACCUUAGUGUCGUAUGUUGUUCAUAUGAUUGAUUAGUAUGUAUUACUGAUGACAGCUGAUCUUCUCACUAUCAAGAUAUGAAGCAGUCAUUGAUGCUUAUUUGGAUGGCCUUGAGUCUUCUGGGCACGAUGACCUAUCUAGAAUUACCAGUGUAGCUUCUUUUUUUGUCAGCCGUGUGGACACCCUUAUAGAUAAGAUGCUUGAAGAAAUUGGGACACCUGAAGCUCUUGAUCUCCGAGGCAAGGUAAAAAUAUAAAAUGCCUUAUGACCUAUGUUCAUUUGGAAACAUGGAAAUGCUAGAAGUCUGAUCAUGGUUUUAUUUUAAAACUGCUUUAGGCUGCAGUGGCUCAAGCUGCUUUGGCAUAUAAGCUCUAUNNNNNNNNNNNNNNNNNNNNNNNNNNNNNNNNNNNNNCAAAGAAAGGUGCUAAGAAGCAAAGAUUGUUGUGGGCAUCAACCGGUGUUAAGAAUCCUGCAUAUCCUGACACUCUGUAUGUGGAUCCUCUCAUUGGACCUGACACGGUGAGCCUCAAUAUUUCUUACUCAUUCGAUUAUAAUUUCUUUUAGAAGUUUCAGAACAUGCAUAAUAGAAAAAGAGGCUGUUUUAUAUAUAGACUAGCUUUUUUCUUCUCUUAUUUUUUGUGUGUGUUUUAAUCUGCAUACUAGUAUGAUUCAGCAUAGCCAGAUUUACUUGUCACAUGAGUACUCAUAUAUAUUUUUUUUAUGGUGCACCUGAAUGCUAU
rnacentral:lncRNA from 1 species